CCACAGAGGAAUUUUCAAGGACAAGAACCAGUGCUGGUAAAACUGUGGUCUCUGUGGUUUUCCAUACCGGCUCUCGGCAAGGAUUUUCAAGAAAGGAAUACCAUCUCCAAAUCAUGAUGUGCCAAUAAGCUCCAGUUAGCUGCGGCCUUUUCCCCAGGCGGUAGUCCUGCAAUCUGAAUCCAGGAGAUGCAGCUCUGAAUCCAAUAUUUCAGAAGAAUGAAGAUGAAGCAGACCCAGGAGGAACUGUCUGUUGAAGACCCCCCCCCCCACCAAGCUGCCCACCAGAGGCCAAGCUGUACUUGGUGUUUGCCAACAUGCUGUAAUUUCCAGCCUGGUUGCUGUAGCCACAGAGGAAUUUUCAAGGACAAGAACCAGUGCUGGUAAAACUGUGGUCUCUGUGGUUUUCCAUACCGGCUCUCGGCAAGGAUUUUCAAGAAAGGAAUACCAUCUCCAAAUCAUGAUGUGCCAAUAAGCUCCAGUUAGCUGCGGCCUUUUCCCCAGGCGGUAGUCCUGCAAUCUGAAUCCAGGAGAUGCAGCUCUGAAUCCAAUAUUUCAGAAGAAUGAAGAUGAAGCAGACCCAGGAGGAACUGUCUGUUGAAGACCCCCCCCCCCCCCCCACCAAGCUGCCCACCAGAGGCCAAGCUGUACUUGGUGUUUGCCAACAUGCUGUAAUUUCCAGCCUGGUUGCUGUAGCCACAGAGGAAUUUUCAAGGACAAGAACCAGUGCUGGUAAAACUGUGGUCUCUGUGGUUUUCCAUACCGGCUCUCGGCAAGGAUUUUCAAGAAAGGAAUACCAUCUCCAAAUCAUGAUGUGCCAAUAAGCUCCAGUUAGCUGCGGCCUUUUCCCCAGGCGGUAGUCCUGCAAUCUGAAUCCAGGAGAUGCAGCUCUGAAUCCAAUAUUUCAGAAGAAUGAAGAUGAAGCAGACCCAGGAGGAACUGUCUGUUGAAGGCCCCCCCCCCCCCCCCCCC